UCCGUAGGUGAACCUGCGGAGGGAUCAUUACACAACAAAAUAUGAAGGCCUGGCUUCGCGGCCGGCUGAAAUAUUUUUUUCACCCAUGUCUUUUGCGCACUUGUUGUUUCCUGGGCGGGUUCGCCCGCCACCAGGACCAAACCAUAAACCUUUUUUUUAUGCAGUUGCAAUCAGCGUCAGUAAAAACAAUGUAAUUAUUACAACUUUCAACAACGGAUCUCUUGGUUCUGGCAUCGAUGAAGAACGCAGCGAAAUGCGAUACGUAGUGUGAAUUGCAGAAUUCAGUGAAUCAUCGAAUCUUUGAACGCACAUUGCGCCCUUUGGUAUUCCAAAGGGCAUGCCUGUUCGAGCGUCAUUUGUACCUUCAAGCUUUGCUUGGUGUUGGGCGUUUUUUGUCUCCCUCUUUCUGGGAGACUCGCCUUAAAACGAUUGGCAGCCGGCCUACUGGUUUCGGAGCGCAGCACAUAUUUUGCGCUUUGUAUCAGGAGAAAAGGACGGUAAUCCAUCAAGACUCUACAUUUUUAACUUUUGACCUCGGAUCAGGUAGGGAUACCCGCUGAACCUAAGCAUAUCAAUAAGCGGAGGA
rnacentral:rRNA from 1 species